CUCAUCUGUUCUAUGCUGAUUUGAUGAAUGUCUUGUAUGACAAAAACCAUUACAAGCUGGUUUUGGGACAGAUCAACAUCGCAAAGAAUUUGAUUGACAACGUGCUGCUCUGGGUCGAAUGUGCACCAUCAUGAAGCGACAGAAGCAAAGCUUGGAAUACCUGGAACAAGUGCUCCAGCAUCUUUCCCGUUUACAACUGAUUGAUCCCAAUACUCGGACUCUACUGCUUUGUGGAUAUACCAAUGUGGGCAAGUCUAGUUUAAUCAACAAGGCUUCUGUGACUUCUCCCUGGGCCUCCUCAAUGUCCACCAUUUGAACAUCA